rnacentral:rRNA from 1 species
AUUGAACGCUGGCGGAAUGCUUUACACAUGCAAGUCGAACGGCAGCACGGACUUCGGUCUGGUGGCGAGUGGCGAACGGGUGAGUAAUGUAUCGGAACGUGCCCAGUCGUGGGGGAUAACGUAGUGAAAAUUACGCUAAUACCGCAUACGAUCUAUGGAUGAAAGCGGGGGAUCGCAAGACCUCGCGCGAUUGGAGCGGCCGAUAUCAGAUUAGGUAGUUGGUGGGGUAAAGGCCCACCAAGCCAACGAUCUGUAGUCUGUCUGAGAGGACGACCAGCCACACUGGAACUGAGACACGGUCCAGACUCCUACGGGAGGCAGCAGUGGGGAAUUUUGGACAAUGGGCGAAAGCCUGAUCCAGCCACUCCGCGUGCAGGAUGAAGGCCCUCGGGUUGUAAACUGCUUUUGUACAGAACGAAAAGGUUUCUACUAAUACUAGGAGCUCAUGACGGUACUGUAAGAAUAAGCACCGGCUAACUACGUGCCAGCCGCCGCAGUAA